rnacentral:rRNA from 1 species
UGACCGCGUAUGAAGUACGUUUUCACCUCGGGUGACAGGGAGACAGGUGGUGCAUGGUUGUCGUCAGCUCGUGUCGUGAGAUGUUGGGUUAAGUCCCGCAACGAGCGCAACCCCUACGUUUAGUUGCUAACAGGUGAAGCUGAGCACUCUAGACGAACUGCCGUUGACAAAACGGAGGAAGGUGGGGAUGACGUCAAAUCAUCAUGCCCCUUAUGUUCUGGGCUACACACGUGCUACAAUGGCCGGUACAGACGGAGGCGAAGCCGCGAGGCGGAGCAAAUCCGAAAAAGCCGGUCUCAGUUCGGAUUGCAGGCUGCAAUUCGCCUGCAUGAAGUCGGAAUCGCUAGUAAUCGCAGGUCAGCAUACUGCGGUGAAUACGUUCCCGGGCCUU